rnacentral:rRNA from 1 species
UACAGAGGGUGCGAGCGUUGUCCGGAAUCACUGGGCGUAAAGGGCGCGUAGGCGGCCUGGUAAGCAGGGGGUGAAAUUCUGCGGCUCAACCGCAGAGCUGCCUUCUGAACUGCCAGGCUGGAGCACGGUAGAGGCAGAUGGAAUUCCCGGUGUAGCGGUGGAAUGCGUAGAGAUCGGGAAGAACACCAGUGGCGAAGGCGGUCUGCUGGGCCGUUGCUGACGCUGAGGCGCGACAGCGUGGGGAGCAAACAGG